UACAGAGGGGGCAAGCGUUGUUCGGAAUUACUGGGCGUAAAGGGCGCGUAGGCGGCCGCCUAAGUCAGACGUGAAAUCCCUCGGCUCAACCGGGGAACUGCGUCUGAUACUGGGUGGCUUGAAUCCGGGAGAGGGAUGCGGAAUUCCAGGUGUAGCGGUGAAAUGCGUAGAUAUCUGGAGGAACACCGGUGGCGAAGGCGGCAUCCUGGACCGGUAUUGACGCUGAGGCGCGAAAGCCAGGGGAGCAAACGGG
rnacentral:rRNA from 1 species